CCCUGGAGAGCUGCUACUGCCAGUCAGUGCCUGUCAGUACUUUGCUAGAUGGGCCAAUGGUCUAGCAUUGAGUAAGGCAGCUUUGCAAAUCUGCUUAAAGAUAUGAAGAGAUUUAGAACAGGGGUAGGCAAACUAAGGGACGCGGGUGGCGCUGUGGGUUAAACCACAGAGCCUAGGACUUGCCAAUCAGAAGGUCGGCGGUUCGAAUCCCCGCGACGGGGUGAGCUCCCGUUGCUCGGUCCCUGCUCCUGCCCACCUAGCAGUUUGAAAGCACGUCAAAGUGCAAGUAGAUAAAUAGGUACCGCUCCGGCGGGAAGGUAAACGGCAUUUCCGUGUGCUGCUCUAGUUCGCCAGAAGCGGCUUAGUCAUGCUGGCCACAUGACCUGGAAGCUGUACGCCUGCUCCCUCGGCCAAUAAAGUGAGAUGAGCGCCGCAACCCCAAAGUUGGCCAUGACUGGACCUAAUGGUCAGGGGUCCCUUUACUAGGCAAACUAAGGCCCGUGGGCUGGAUGCGGCCCAAUCACCCUCUCAAUCCGGCCCACAGACGGUCCAGGAAUCAGCGUGCUUUACAUGAGUAGAAUGUGUCCUUUUAUUUAAAAUGCAUCUCUGGGUUAUUUGUGGGGCAUAGGAAUUCGUUCAUUUUUAUUUUUUUCAAAAUAUAGUCCGGCCCACGGCAUGGUCUGAGGGAAGGUGGACCACGGCUGAAAAAGACUGCUGACCCCUGAUUUAGAACAAAGCUCCACACUGGCUCACAAAGGGUUAUGCUGAUAGAUAUACACAAUUACGCCUAGAUCGACCAGGCAAUUUGAGAAGCUGGUGAAGCCACUUCCUUUCCCCACCUUGCCCUUUCAUGGGGAAAAAAUGGGGGUUGCAGCUCCCAGCUUGCAGGGAGAGGUGAGCUACAGGGGAAUUUAGGAGGGAGGGGCCAUUUGCAGGAAAGUUGGGAGAAAAUGAUAGGCAAUCCCAGAAGAUCAAGGGUGUCAGUGGCUGCAAAAAGGACAUAGGAAGCUCCUUUGUACUGAGUCAGCUCAGUACAGCCAAUUUAAUUUCUUUUUUUUAUGCAGAGAAAAUAAACAGUUUGAGGAGAAGAAAAUGCACUGGCCCAUCUGAAUUUACUCCUCUGCCAGCUGCUUUGCCUUGCUGCAGAUUCCGGUCAUAGUUUGGUCUG
rnacentral:lncRNA from 1 species